UCUUAUUUUCUUUAUGUGACUUCAUUUUGCAUGCGCAGCACCGAAGGAGCUUUUCAGAAAAGUUUUGGCAGACUACUAAUGAGGAUGAGUUCAAUAAUGCUAGUCUGAAAAGGCCAAGGGUUUUUGCGUAGAGAUUUCCAUUACACCCCAAAGAGGCUGGUUGGUCAGGAGCGCUUUCGUCCAUUGUUUUGGGGCAGAGCAUGUCGCUUGUGAGGAACCUGCAAAUAAGCCCCAUUUAUCAAAAAGAGAAUAAUUUCCACAAUUUGCGGCCAUUUGAAUGUUAUACCACUUUUGCUUUAGUACAUAGAGAUUUGCUGCAGUUUUCAUAGUGUCGUCUGCUAGAACAAAUGUUGUCAUUUAGUAGUAUUUACUUGUACUGUAAAUUAAGGGUUCUUGGACAAUUGCAAAUGUUUUGCCAACAUAAACCUUCUCUCUCUAAUAUUUUUAAUCCCAUUCCUGUCGCAGAUUUUUAAA